rnacentral:rRNA from 1 species
CCUACGGGGGGCAGCAGUGAGGAAUAUUGGUCAAUGGGCUUACGCCUGAACCAGCCAAGUCGCGUGAGGGCAGACUGCCCUAUGGAUUGUAAACCUCUUUUGUCAGGGAGCAAUAUGCGCUACGUGUAGCGUUAUCGAGAUUACCUAAAGAAAAAGCAUCGGCUAACUCCGUGCCAGCAGCCGCGGUAAUACGGAGGAUGCAAGCGUUAUCCGGAAUGACUGGGCGGAAAGGGUUCGUAGGUGGUUUAGUAAGUUGGCGGUGUAAUACCGGGGCUCAACCUCGGCGUUACCGCCAAAACUAUUAGACUAGAGAGGAGGAGGGGUAAGUGGAAUUCCUAGUGUAGCGGUGGAAUGCGUAGAUAUUAGGAGGAACAUCAGGGGCGAAGGCGACUUACUGGACUGUAACUGACACUGAGGAACGAAAGCGUGGGGAGCAAACAGGAUUAGAUACCCGGGUAGUC